rnacentral:rRNA from 1 species
AACGAACGCUGGCGGCAGGCCUAACACAUGCAAGUCGAGCGGACCCUUCGGGGUUAGCGGCGGACGGGUGAGUAACGCGUGGGAAUAUGCCCUUCUCUACGGAAUAGUCCUGGGAAACUGGGGGUAAUACCGUAUACGCCCUUUGGGGGAAAGAUUUAUUGGGAAAGGAUUAGCCCGCGUUGGAUUAGGUAGUUGGUGGGGUAAUGGCCUACCAAGCCGACGAUCCAUAGCUGGAUUGAGAGGAUGAUCAGCCACACUGGGACUGAGAAACGGCCCGGAUUCUUAGGGAAGGAAGAAUGGGGGAUUCUGAGAAAUGGGGGGAAUCCAGAAGGUAGCAUGGUGGGUGAAGUAUUAAAGGCGUUAGGUUGGUAAGGCUGUUUAAGCGGGGAAGUUAUGACGUGACCAACAGGAAGAGGCCCGGCUAAAUUCGUG